GGGGGUGUCCAGGUUUCGACGAAGGUAGACGAAGUAGAGGUUGCAUGCCGAGGAUUCCGUAGGCCUCGUUAAAUUGACGGAACAAGAUUUAACUGCCGAUACAGAAUUGGCUCUAGCCGCUUAAUGCGGCUCGUUUUGUUGAUUUGCGGCCCGUCGAGUCAACAAAACGUCGAUCAACGGGCUAUGUUUUUCUUCUGUUCUCAGGAGAAGGAAAACGAGAUUUAAUCUGAGAUAGCCUAGAGUAGAUCCUGCACAAGGGAGUUACCAAAGGCGAAGCAUUAAAGCUUGUGCUAAGCAUGUAGUAGCCUGUAUUGAGAUGCUUUCGGACGCGGGUUCGAUUCCCGCCACCUCCACCA
rnacentral:tmRNA from 2 species